GACGAACGCUGGCGGCGUGCCUAAUACAUGCAAGUUGAGCGAUGAAGAUUGGUGCUUGCACCAAUUUGAAGAGCAGCGAACGGGUGAGUAACGCGUGGGGAAUCUGCCUUUGAGCGGGGGACAACAUUUGGAAACGAAUGCUAAUACCGCAUAACAACUUUAAACAUAAGUUUUAAGUUUGAAAGAUGCAAUUGCAUCACUCAAAGAUGAUCCCGCGUUGUAUUAGCUAGUUGGUGAGGUAAAGGCUCACCAAGGCGAUGAUACAUAGCCGACCUGAGAGGGUGAUCGGCCACAUUGGGACUGAGACACGGCCCAAACUCCUACGGGAGGCCGCAGUAGGGAAUCUUCGGCAAUGGACGAAAGUCUGACCGAGCAACGCCGCGUGAGUGAAGAAGGUUUUCGGAUCGUAAAACUCUGUUGGUAGAGAAGAACGUUGGUGAGAGUGGAAAGCUCAUCAAGUGACGGUAACUACCCAGAAAGGGACGGCUAACUACGUG
rnacentral:rRNA from 1 species